UCCGACCUCAGAUCGGACGAGAUUACCCGCUGAAUUUAAGCAUAUAACUAAGCGGAGGAAAAGAAACUAACAAGGAUUUCCCCAGUAACGGCGAGUGAAGCGGGAAGAGCCCAGCACCGAAUCCCUCAGUGUCACGCUGACGGGAACUGUGGUGUGUGGGACGCCACCAGUCGCGUCAGAGGGCGCCGAAGUCCUCCUGAUCGGGGCUUCACCCAGAGCGGGUGUAAGGCCUUUGCAGGUGCCUCUCUGCGCGGCCGCGAGCGUCUCAGGAGUCGGGUUGUUUGGGAAUGCAGCCCCAAAGC
rnacentral:rRNA from 1 species